UACAGAGGUCUCAAGCGUUGUUCGGAUUCAUUGGGCGUAAAGGGCGCGUAGGCUGCGGGGCAAGUCGGGUGUGAAAUCUCAGAGCUCAACUCUGAAACUGCACUCGAUACUGCUUUGCUUGAGGACUGGAGAGGAGACUGGAAUUUACGGUGUAGCGGUGAAAUGCGUAGAUAUCGUAAGGAAGACCAGUGGCGAAGGCGGGUCUCUGGACAGUUCCUGACGCUGAGGCACGAAGGCCAGGGGAGCAAACAGG
rnacentral:rRNA from 1 species